CCUCCGCAACAUGAAACCGUGAACCCGGUCAGGCCCGGAAGGGAGCAGCCGAAGCGGUGGAUGUGUGUGCCGGGGGAUCGCUGGUGGGG
rnacentral:SRP_RNA from 1 species